GUGUUUAUCACUUUUCCUUCUUCUGGGCUUUCUAAGAGAAGUUUUUCUUGUUGGGUUUUAUUUUUGUUUAUUGAGCUUGGGGAGGGGGUUUGAUUCUUGUUUCUUUUUUAGAUGGGUACAGAGAUAGAAGAAGUGUUGAAGAAGAAGAGAGAUGGUAGAGGC
rnacentral:pre_miRNA from 1 species